rnacentral:rRNA from 1 species
ACGGGAGGCAGCAGUGGGGGAUAUUGGACAAUGGGGGAAACCCUGAUCCAGCGACGCGGCGUGAGUGAAGAAGCAUUUCGGUAUGUAAAGCUCUAUCAGCAGGGAAUAAAAAGAGUAAGCAUUGACAGUACCUGACUAAGAAGCACCGGCUAACUACGUGCCAGCAGCCGCGGUAAUACGUAGGGGGCAAGCGCUAUCCGGAUUUACUGGGUGUAAAGGGAGCGGAGGCGGUACGGCAAGUCAGAUGUGAAAGCCCGGGGCUCAACCCCGGAACUGCAUUUGAAACUGUCGAACUAGAGUAUCUGAGAGGUGAGUGGAAUCCCAAGUGUAGCGGUGAAAUGCGUAGAUACUUGGAAGAACACCGGUGGCGAAGGCGGCUCACUGGACGAUAACUGACGCUGAGGCUCGAAAGCGUGGGGAGCAAACAGGAUUAGAUACCCUGGUA